rnacentral:rRNA from 1 species
AAGUCCCGUAACGAGCGCAACCCUUGUACUUAGUUGUAUUUUUCUAGGUAGACUGCCCCGGUAACGGGGAGGAAGGAGGGGAUGAUGUCAGGUCAGUAUUUCCCUUACGUCCUGGGCUAGAAACACGAUACAAUGGCUAAUACAAUGCGCAGCGAAGCCGCGAGGUGGAGCAAAUCGCAUCAAAGUUAGUCCCAGUUCGGAUUGGAGGCUGAAACUCGCCUCCAUGAAGUCGGAAUCGCUAGUAAUCGCAAAUCAGCAAGUUGCGGUGAAUACGUUCCCGGGUCUUGUACACACCGCCCGU